ACACUUACCAGGACCUCCUCGUUACCCCAUGUACAGACACACACCUACCAGGACCUCCUCGUUACCCCAGGUACAGACACACCUACCAGGACCUCCUUGUUACCCCAGGUACAGACACACCUACCAGGACCUCCUCGUUACCCCAGGUACAGACACACACCUACCAGGACCGACUCGUUACCCCAGGUACAGACACACCUACUAGUAUCGCCUCGUUACCUCCGGUACAGACACACCUACCAGGACCUCGUUAUCCCAGGUACAGACACACACCUACCAGGACCUCCUCGUUACCCCAGGUACAGACACACCUACCAGGACCUCCUCAUUACCCCAGGUACAGACACACACCUACCAGGACCGCCUCGUUGCCCCAGGUACAGACACACCUACCAGGACCUCCUCGUUACCCAAGGUACACAAACACCUACCAGGACCGCCUCGUUACCCCAGGUACAGACACACACCUACCAGUAUCACCUCGUUACCCAAGGUACACAAACACCUACCAGGACCUCCUUGUUACCCCAGGUACAGACACACCUACCAGGACCUCCUCGUUACCCCAGGUACAGACACACACCUACCAGGACCUCCUCGUUACCCCAGGUACAGACACACACCUACCAGGACCUCCUCGUUACCCCAGGUACAGACACACACCUACCAGGACCGACUCGUUACCCCAGGUACAGACACACCUACCAGGACCUCCUCGUUACCCCAGGUACAGACACACAACUACCAGGACCUCCUUGUUACCCCAGGUACAGACACACCUACCAGGACCUCCUCGUUACCCCAGGUACAGACACACACCUCCCAGGACCUCCUCGUUACCCCAGGUACAGACACACACCUACCAGGACCGACUCGUUACCCCAGGUACAGACACACCUACCAGGACCUCCUCGUUACCCCAGGUACAGACACACACCUACCAGGACCUCCUUGUUACCCCAGGUACAGACACACCUACCAGGACCUCCUCGUUACCCCAGGUACAGACACACACCUACCAGGACCUCCUCGUUACCCCAGGUACAGACACACACCUACCAGGACCUCCUCGUUACCCCAGGUACAGACACACCUACCAGGACCUCCUCGUUACCCCAGGUACAGACACACCUACCAGGACCGACUCGUUACCCCAGGUACAGACACACCUACCAGGACCUCCUCGUUACCCCAGGUACAGACACACCUACCAGUACCUCCUCGUUAACCCAGGUACAGACACACUUACCAGGACCUCCUCGUUAACCCAGGUACAGACACACUUACCAGGACCUCCUCGUUUCCCCAUGUACAGACACACCUACCAGUACCUCCUCGUUACCCCAGGUACAGACACACCUACCAGGACCUCCUCGUUACCCCAGGUACAGACACACCUACCAGGACGUCUCGUUACCCCAGGUACAGACACACACCUACCAGGACCUCCUCGUUACCCCAGGUACAGACACACCUACCAGUACCUCCUCGUUAACCCAGGUACAGACACACUUACCAGGACCUCCUCGUUACCCCAUGUACAGACACACCUACCAGGACCUCCUUGUUACCCCAGGUACAGACACACCUACCAGGACCUCCUCGUUACCCCAGGUACAGACACACACCUACCAGGACCGCCUCGUUACCUCCGGUACAGACACACCUACCAGGACCUCGUUAUCCCAGGUACAGACACACACCUACCAGGACCUCCUCAUUACCCCAGGUACAGACACACCUACCAGGACAUCCUCGUUACCCCAGGUACAGACACACACCUACCAGGACCGCCUCGUUACCCCAGGUACAGACACACACCUACCAGGACCGACUCGUUACCCCAGGUACAGACACACCUACCAGGACCUCCUCGUUACCCCAGGUACAGACACACACCUACCAGGACCGCCUUGUUACCCCAGGUAUGAUGAUCCGUCCACGGGGCGAGGCCAUGGAGAUCCUCUAUAACACCAAGGACACAGAGAGCUUUGACAUCUAUGCCCAGACACUGAACAACUUCCUCGAAUGUAAGCCGUUAAUAAACAAAAAACAUACAUCGACUAAAACAAUAAACAUAACAUUAAUGACAUCACACGUCCUCAGACCCACUUUUCCACCGUGUGCCGUGUUUUCCACCAGUACAUAGAGUAGCCAACCAAAUAGAAAGAGUAGCCAGCCAAGCUACUGGGUAAAAAAAACAAUUGGUGGCCUUUGGUACAUUCAACUGCCUUGAUUUCAACUCAAAUAUAAAAUUGAUUGAAUACUUUAUCAAGUUUACCUCCCAGGUUGGAAAAAUGUGUUGUUGUAUUGUGUAGAAUGACAUGACUUUACAAUUUAAAUGACUGCAAAUGUCGAAAUUCAGUGUAUUGUUAGUUGUUUUGAAUAUUGUCUAGACCUAUAUGAUCUGGGGUAUUUUCUGAGUAAGAUAACCUUUUUGAACAUUUAACCUGUCUUCUUUUGAGGUUAAAGUCUUAUGUCAAGUAGAAUUAUGUAUUUUAUUCUAACAGAAAAUAAAGUAAAGAGGCUGUGGUUUAGCUGUGUUUUUGUAGUGAUAACCUAGCAAGAGGCUGUUAUUUAGCUGUGAUCACCUAGCAAGAGGCUGUUAUUUAGCUGUGAUCACCUAGCAAGAGGAUGUUAUUUAGCUGUGAUCACCUAGCAAGAGGAUGUUAUUUAGCUGUCAUCACCUAGCAAGAGGAUGUUAUUUAGCUGUGCUUUUGAAGUGAUCACCAAGCUAUAGGCUUUUUUUGUUAGCUGUGAUCACCUAGCAACAGGGUGUUGUUUAGCUGUGAUCACCUAGCAAGAGGCUUUUGUUUAGCUGUGUUUUUGUAGUGAUCACCAAGCUAGAGGCUUCUUUUUUUAGCUGUGAUCACCUAGCAACAUGCUGUUGUUUAGCUGUGUUUUUGAAGUGAUCACCAAGCUAGAGGCUUCUUUUUUUAGCUGUGAUCACCUAGCAAGAGGCUAUUGUUUAGCUGUGAUCACCUAGCAACAGGCCGUUGUUUAGCUUUGAUCACCUAGCAAGUGGCUGUUAUUUAGCUGUGAUAACCUAGCAACAGGCUGUUGUUUAGCUGUGAUCACUUAGCAAGAGGAUGUUGUUUAGCUGUGAUCACCUAGCAAGAGGAUGUUGUUUAGCUGUGUUUUUGUAGUGAUCAUCAAACAAGAGGAUGUCGUUUUUUUUGUGAUCACCAAGCAAGAGGAUGUUGUUUAGCUGUGUUUUUGUAGUUAUCACCAAUUAACAGACUGUCGUUUAGGUGUGAUCACCUAGCAACAGGCUGUUGUUUAGCUGUGAUCACCAAGCUAGAGGCUUUUCUUUAGCUGUGGUCACCCAGCAACAGGCCGUUGUUUAGCUGUAAUCACCUAGCAACAGGUGGUUGUUUCACUGUGAUCACCUAGCAACAGGCUGUUGUUUAGCUGUGUUUUUGUAGUGAUCACCUAGCAACAUGCUGUUGUUUAGCUGUGUUUUUGUAGUGAUCACCAAGCAAGAGGAUGUCGUUUUUUUGUGAUCACCAAGCAAGAGGAUGUUGUUUAGCUGUGAUCACCUUGCAAGAGGCUGUUAUUUAGCUGUGUUUUUGUAGUGAUCACCUAGCAACAUGCGGUUGUUUAGCUGUGUUUUUGUAGUGAUCACCAAGCAAGGGGCUGUUGUUUAGCUGUGAUCACCUUGCAAGAGGUUGUUGUUUAGCUGUGUUUUUGUAGUGAUCACCAAGCAAGAGGCUGUUAUUUAGCUGUGAUAACCUAGCAAGAGGCUGUUGUUUAGCUGUAUUCACCAAGCUAGAGGCUUUGCUUUAGCUGUGAUCACCAAGCAAUAGGCCGUUGUUUAGCUCUGAUCAACUGGCAACAGGGUGUUGUUAAGCUGUGAUCACCUAGCAACAGGCUGUUGUUUAACUGUUAUCACCAAGCUAGAGGCUUUUCUUUAGCUGUGAUCACCCAGCAACAGGCCGUUGUUUAGUUGUAAUCACCUAGCAACAGGUGGUUGUUUAGCUGUGAUCACCUAGCAACAGGCUCUUCUUUAGCUGUAUUCACCAAGCUAAAGGCUUUCCUUUAGCUGUGAUCACCUAGCAACAGGCUCUUCUUUAGCUGUAUUCACCAAGCUAAAGGCUUUCCUUUAGCUGUGAUCACCCAGCAACAGGCCGUUGUUUAGUUGUAAUCACCUAGCAACAGGUGGUUGUUUAGCUGUGAUCACCUAGCAACAGGCUGUUCUUUAGCUGUGGUCACCCAGCAAUAGGCCGUUGUUUAGCUGUAAUAACCUAGAAACAGGUGGUUGUUUACCUGUGAUCACCUAGCAACAUGCUGUUGUUUAGCUGUGUUUUUGUAGUGAUCAUCAAGCAAGAGGCUGUCAUUUAGCUGUGAUCACCUAGCAACAGGCUGUUGUUUACCUGUGAUCACCUAGCAACAGGCUGUUGUUUAGCUGUGUUUUUGUAGUGAUCAUCAAGCAAGAGGCUGUCAUUUAGCUAUGAUGACCAAGCAAGAGGCUGUUGUUUACCUGUGAUUACCAAGCAAGAGGCUGUUGUUUAGCUGUGUUUUUGUAGUGAUCACCAAGCUAAAGGCUUUUUUUUAAUAGCUGUGACCACCUAGAAACAGGCUGUUGUUUAGCUGUGAUCACCUAGCAACAGGCUGUUGUUUUGCUGUGAUUUUGUAGUGAUCAUCAAACAAGAGGAUGUCGUUUAGCUGUGACACCAAGCAAGACGCUGUUGUUCAGCUUAGUUUUCGUAGUGAUCACCAAGCUAGAGUUUUUUUUGUUGCUGUGAUCACCUAGCAACAGACUGUUGUUUAGCUGUGAUCACCUAGCAAGAGGCUGUUGUUUAGCUGUGUUUUUGUAGUGAUCACCAAGCAAGAGACUGUCGUUUAGCUGUGAUCAACCAGCAACAGGCCAUUGUUUAGCUGUAAUCACAUAGCAACAGGUGGUUGUUUAGCUGUGUUUUUGUAUUGAUCACCAAGCAACAGACUGUCGAAU
ensembl:lncRNA